rnacentral:rRNA from 1 species
UACAGAGGGUGCGAGCGUUAAUCGGAAUUACUGGGCGUAAAGCGCACGUAGGCGGCUUGGUAUGUCGGGUGUGAAAUCCCCGGGCUCAACCUGGGAACUGCAUCCGAAACUGCCUUGCUAGAGUAUGGGAGAGGGAAGUGGAAUUUCCGGUGUAGCGGUGAAAUGCGCAGAUAUCGGGAAGAACACCCGUGGCGAAGGCGGCUCUCUGGGACGGUACUGACGCUGAGACGCGAAAGCGUGGGGAGCGAACAGG